CCUAAGAGAUACGUGUUAUGUGAAGUGCUCACACAGAUUGUCUGAUGAAGAACGAGCAAAAGCGCGUCUGCGAAGCUGACAGAAGUCCCCUUCGUCUAGAGGCCUAGGACACCGCCCUUUCACGGCGGUAACAGGGGUUCGAAUCCCCUAGGGGACGCCAAUGCGCGGUAUGAGUGAAAGGCGUACCACUUAUCUGACGAGAGUCAGAGAAUAACUAAGCUAAUUCAAACGAGUUAUCUUACUUAUUAUGCUCUUUAUCAAUCUGGAACAAGCUGAAAAAUUGAAAACGAAUCAAUAUAUCACCGAGGUAUAUUGGUGAGUCUCUCAAAAUCUCAAACCUUAAAGUUUGUCACACAAAGUUUAUCUUUGAAAAAGACACUUUCGGGUUGUGA
rnacentral:misc_RNA from 1 species